rnacentral:rRNA from 1 species
GAUGAACGCUGGCGGCGUGCCUAAUACAUGCAAGUCGAGCGAACAGACGAGGAGCUUGCUCCUCUGACGUUAGCGGCGGACGGGUGAGUAACACGUGGAUAACCUACCUAUAAGACUGGGAUAACUUCGGGAAACCGGAGCUAAUACCGGCUCAUAUAUUGAACCGCAUGGUUCAAUAGUGAAAGACGGUUUUGCUGUCACUUAUAGAUGGAUCCGCGCCGCAUUAGCUAGUUGGUAAGGUAACGGCUUACCAAGGCGACGAUGCGUAGCCGACCUGAGAGGGUGAUCGGCCACACUGGAACUGAGACACGGUCCAGACUCCUACGGGAGGCAGCAGUGGGGAAUAUUCGACAAAGGGCGAAAGCCUGACGGAGCAACGCCGCGUGAGUGAUGAAGGUCUUCGGAUCGUAAAGCUCUGUUAUUAGGGAAGAACAAAUGUGUAAGUAACUAUGCACGUCUUGACGGUACCUAAUCAGAAAGCCACGGCUAACUACGUG